GACGAACGCUGGCGGCGUGCUUAACACAUGCAAGUCGAACGGAGAGGCCCUGCUUUUGUGGGGUGCUCGAGUGGCGAACGGGUGAGUAACACGUGAGUAACCUGCCCUUGACUUUGGGAUAACUUCAGGAAACUGUGGCUAAUACCGGAUAGGAGCUCCUGCUGCAUGGUGUGGGUUGGAAAGUUUCGGCGGUUGGGGAUGGACUCGCGGCUUAGCAGCUUGUUGGUGGGGUAGUGGCUUACCAAGGCUUUGACGGGUAGCCGGACUGAGAGGGUGACCGGCCACAUUGGGACUGAGAUAGGGCCCAGACUGCUACGGGAGGAAGCAGUGGGGAAUAUUGCACAAUGGGCGGAAGCCGGAUGCAGCAACGCCGGGUGCGGGAUGACGGCCUUCGGGUUGUAAACCGCUUUCGCCUGUGACGAAGAGUGAGUGACGGUAAUGGGUAAAGAAGCACCGGCUAACUACGUG
rnacentral:rRNA from 1 species